AGCUUUGCGCAGUGGCAGUAUCGUAGCCAAUGAGGUUUAUCCGAGGCGCGAUUAUUGCUAAUUGAAAACUUUUCCCAUCGUAUGGGCUAGAACUUUGUACAUAGCCAUACCUAAUGUAAGGGAGGCUAAAAAAUGU